UGCUCACUAGGGGGCAGUGUUUAGCUGCAGUGCAUCGAGCUCUCAGUGCGCUAAUUGAUGUCAGGUGCUUCUGCUGUCACUGUGUCGCUGAAAGUAAACACAUGCAAAGCAGAAAAAAGGAAUAACAUACAUUCAUCUGCUUUAGAGUAUUCUCUCAGGGCUUUCCUCCCAGGCCAGAACAAUGGUGGACCCAGGAGUCCAGCUUCCCCACAGGCCCUGAACAAGAACAAGCCAGGAGCCAGGAACUGACGGAGCUGCUCAGCUUGCUGAAAUGUGGAGGAGGCAGAUAAGGUGGCAGCGGCACAGAGAGGCCCUCUCCCCUGGGCCCAGGGGGAAAUUUGCAGUUAUUAAGAGAAGAUGAGAACGAUUAAAUGGCUUUUGUACUCGU